rnacentral:rRNA from 1 species
UGGGGAAUAUUGGACAAUGGGGGGAACCCUGAUCCAGCCAUGCCGCGUGUGUGAAGAAGGCCUUAUGGUUGUAAAGCACUUUAAGCGAGGAGGAGGGUACUGGUAUUAAUACUACCAGGUACUGGACGUUACUCGCAGAAUAAGCACCGGCUAACUCUGUGCCAGCAGCCGCGGUAAUACAGAGGGUGCGAGCGUUCAUCGGAUUUACUGGGCGUAAAGCGUGCGUAGGCGGCUAAUUGAGUCGGAUGUGAAAUCCCCGAGCUUAACUUGGGAAUUGCAUUCGAUACUGGUUAGCUAGAGUGUGGGAGAGGAUGGUAGAAUUCCAGGUGUAGCGGUAAAAUGCGUAGAGAUCUGGAGGAAUACCGAUGGCGAAGGCAGCCAUCUGGCCUAACACUGACGCUGAGGUACGAAAGCAUGGGGAGCAAACAGG